rnacentral:tRNA from 5 species
ACGUCCGUAAGUGCCUUCUAAGCAGUGGGUCACUGGUUCGAAUCCAGUUGGACGUGCCA